ensembl:lncRNA
UUUGUAAUCUCAAAUGCGUAAAGAUUUAAUUGUUUGAAAAGGGCACUUCUUUUUAGAUAGGCUAGCCUACCUAUUAUAAGUUACCUGAAACAUGAACGACUCUUGCUCUUUCAGUAAUGUUCAGUGAAUUGCCUGCAUUUGUCCGUAUUUGUCUUUAAAUCCAUUAGGGAAAUAUAAAAUGUAAUCAUUCCAAUGGCGUGCGUUUCAACUUUAAUAAGUGUUACAAAUUAAUCGAGCUUUAAUUUCUAAUUUAAAAGCGUGUGUUCAGUCCGCCCUCUAAUGAACAAUGAGUGUAAUGACAUCCACUAGCAUCCAUUUACUAAUGUGUAUCUCACAUAAUAACCUUACAAUAAACACUCAACAUUUGCUUUAAUAAUCAUUUAUAUUUAACAGUAUUUCUCUCUCUCUCUCUCUCGUUAUUAUCUGCAGGAAUAUUGCUCUGCAUGUCUUCUUUAAGCUCAGUCUUGGCACAGUCUACCUAAAUAGUUUUGUGCAGUGUAUCCGGUCCUGUGCUUUGUAUCUUCUCCGUGGAGGAAAAGUGAAGUCUCCUGAGUGUCCUGAGAAAAAACGAUCUGUGACCUUCUGCAGAGAGACUCACCGUGAAGCCGAUGCCCACAGUAGCAGAGAAGGACCCUGAGAUGAAUUUUCCCUGGUCAAACUGCACUAACAGAGACGUCUUCCCCACUCCACUGUCUCCAACUAGUAUGGUCUGCAACAGACAGGAACAGAUGCACAAACAGAUGGAGGGUCAAGUGAAGAUAAAGAGAGGAUUCUCAAGCGUGCAGGGAAAAAAAUCCGGCAUUUAGAGACAAAAUUGCAGAUUCUGCGUUAUGAUUGGUCUGAUCACCUGUCAAUCAAACUCCCUGGGACGGGUCAGGAUUUGAUGAUCGUUUGAGACUGUUUAGAGGAUCAUAUGAAUAUAUGUUUAUUCUUCUGAGUUUCGUGAAAUAAUCAAAUGCAUUGAGUCACAUAGCAAUGCUUUGCACUGCUGAACAAACAAAUAA